AUGUCCCGGCAGGAAAAACAAAAUGCAACUCUCCAUGACGAUGUUUCGCUUGGUAAUAUUACUAAAUACGAUGGUGGUAUGCUAAACACGGAGGAUGAUGAUGAUAAUGAUUCGAUGCACACUAAUCUGAAUUACCAACGAGCUAAUCUGAAUUGCCAGCAAGGUACAGUGCACGUUCAACAUAUACAUGACAUGCAAGGACAAGAAAGAUUUCUGCCCAGAAGUUUUAUAUCUGGACAGUCCAGUGAAAUGAAAGAUGCAUCUUCUGAGAAAAAACGACGACGUAUGAGGGAACAAUAUGCAAACAUGCCAACGCAUGACAAAGAGGUUGUGUUGUGUUGUAAUCGUGCAUAUAAGAUAGCAUGA
rnacentral:rRNA from 1 species